rnacentral:rRNA from 1 species
AGUGAACGCUGGCGGCGUGCUUAACACAUGCAAGUCGAACGAGAACGGAUUAUAGCUUGCUAUAAUUGUCAGCUAAGUGGCGCACGGGUGAGUAAUGUAUAGGUAAUAUGCCUCUUACUAAGGGAUAACAAAUGGAAACGUUUGCUAAUACCUUAUACUCCUUACUAACAGAAGUUAAUAAGGGAAAGAUUUAUUGGUAAGAGAUUAGCCUGUAUUGUAUCAGUUAGUUGGUGGGGUAAUGGCUUACCAAGACUAUGACACAUAACUGGUUUGAGAGGAUGAUCAGUCACACUGGAACUGAGACACGGUCCAGACUCCUACGGGAGGCAGCAGUGGGGAAUAUUGCACAAUGGACGAAAGUCUGAUACAGCAACGCCGCGUGGAGGACGACACAUUUCGGUGCGUAAACUCCUUUUAUAUGAGAAGAUAAUGACGGUAUUAUAUGAAUAAGCACCGGCUAACUCCGUGCCAGCCGCCGCGGUAA